GCGCACGUUUGCCUACGCGAAAUCUCGCGGGAGCGACGUUAAAAAAUCUCCCUUCUAGUUGGCCCUACUGCGGCUAGCAACGUUAUCAAUCUGUACUGGGAGUGGCUUUCGAGUCACAACCAGCAGCUCUGUAAUUGAGUUCACAGGUCAAACGAUUGCGGCCACCCCAGGCGUGGUUUUGAUAUGAUCGGCCCCAUCCCAUGUCGGAUGGCGAAAUUUUUUCGC
rnacentral:rRNA from 1 species